rnacentral:other from 1 species
UUUCCCCUGCGGUGUUUGUUCAGGCCAUAUACUCUUUGAGCCAAUAACAUCGCUCUGGUCGCCGACCACAGCAGUUUCGGUGUGCGCGUCCCACGCGGACGUGCCUGAAGAAACUCGGAAGGUGGCCGCCUUGAACCCUAGGUUCAGGAUGCUGGUCUGCGACGGCACAUGCGGGGGACCC